UACGGAGGGGGCGAGCGUUAUUCGGAAUUAUUGGGAGUAAAGGGCGCGUAGGCGGCCCGGUAAGUCAAAGGUGAAAUCCCUCGGCUCAACUGAGGAACUGCCUUUGAAACUGUCGGGCUUGAGGCCGGGAGGGGGUAGCGGAAUUCCCAGUGUAGCGGUGAAAUGCGUAGAUAUUGGGAGGAACACCGGUGGCGAAGGCGGCUACCUGGACCGGUUCUGACGCUGAUGCGCGAAAGCGUGGGUAGCAAACAGG
rnacentral:rRNA from 1 species